GGUGCCCUUGCGCGGCGGGGGCAAGAUGGCGGCGGCGCUGCGGCUGUGGCGGGCCGGGCUGGGCGGCCGUCCGGCGUCCGUUGUCUUGCACAAGUAUCUCUUGGCUAGACCAGUGGCUGCCUUGUUUAGACCAAUUGAGGACUUUCAUCAUCAUCAUCAGAUGCGCAAAUUU